CCGCGCCGCGUUACCGACCGACCGAGACCGACCCCUCCUGUCUUGCCCACCCGAUCCGGAUCCAGCCCCAACCCACCACCACCAGCGCCACUUCCCUUCGAUUUCCGCCGCCCGCCGAAGCCGUCCCCAGCAAGGACCCGGCCGGCGGCGCGGCCUCUUCCCCGGCGGCCCGCCCGCGGCCAGGCGCGCCCUUUCCUCCCUCCCCGCGCCCUGGCCGUGGCCGGUCUGCUCCUCCUCUCUUCGUCCGGGGCCCCGGGUCAUGGCCACCUCUCGCCUCGCCUCCUCGCGUCCGGUUUGGAUUCGCUACUCCUCGAUUCGUCGCCCGUUUAGGCUUAGAACCGCGCCUGAUUUGGUUCUUGCCGCUCGAUUCGUCCGUUUUGAAUUGCGCCUGGUUUGAUCUUGCUCGUCCUCGCUCGCCGUCGUCCGGUUCGAUUUUGCUCGUCCUCGCCGUCGCCGUCCGUGUAGGGUCGCGUCCGGUUUGAUUUUGCUCGUCCUCGUCGUCGUCCGUGUAUAGUCGCGACUGAUUCGAUUUCGCUCGUCCUCGCCGUUGUCCCGAUGCGCUCGCGUGUUCUUGGUCCGUCUCGCCUCGUCGGGGGUCUCCUCCGUCUCGUUUGCGUACUAGCAAUUCUGUCAUCGUGCGCUUUUGUUAUCCAAACUACCAAUCCUGGGUUUCGUGUUCGCGUCGGUUAUAGGAACGAACGGGUCCGGUUUCGAAAUUGGAUUACGGCCGGAGACGGGGAGCAGUGUUUGUUUAUCGUGCUAGUUCAGAUCGAUUCCUCUGUUCCGUCACCUACGUUGUUCCUGGUGAUUUUCAGAACUCAAACGUAUUGCUCUCCUGUGAUACUCUGUCAAUUCUUGGCCAUCUGUCAGUUCUUGUUGGCCCUCUGUCAAUUCUUGAGUUCCAGGGUCUGUUAAUUCUGGACUUCUUGUUGUACCGGCUAGGCGUGUGCGCUCUCAUCCUAGAUUCAGAGAUGGGGUGAUUCCUUGCGCUUGGUCUUUGUUUAUGUUCUUUCCAGUUUGUUUCUUUUAUCAUGCUUAGCUUGUGUGUUCCGAGCAGAAAAGUUUUACAAGAGUGCAAACCCAUGUGGUCUGCUGCUUGACUAAUUGAACACCUGCUGAUGCUACUGUUGGACAAGGUUCCUUCUUUUCUUCCUGAUGUUGCUAUUUCAAUUCAAGUACUCAUAGGAGUUCUAGAUGAGCUGCUGCUAGUUAGUUCCCCUUAGACUACAUUCUAGAUUGCAUAGCAUAACUCCAGAAUUUUGUCAUUGCACACCUGGGCAUAUGAUUCUGUUGUGAGCAUAACUCUAGAAUUUAUUUAUCUGUGAAAGCAUGUUCAUCACAUGUUUUUUUUAUCAAUGCUGCUAACUUCUGCCAUGCCCCUUUCCUUUUGGACAACAAUAUCAAUGAACCUAUAACAUGGACAUGUGCUGCUUGUUUUCUUGUGAUGAUGGUGAUCCAAUUGAGUAGCCCAACUCUUAUGCUCUGACAUUUGUUAAUCCCCAGUUAGUGUGCAUGAAAAAUUAUUGUUUGUCAUGUUAAAUUUUAUGGCAUCAACUCAGUAUUGUGAUGACUUAGUAUUUGUUUAGUGUAGAUAGUUGACUUCCUUUUUCUUAAAUUUUUAGUGAUAUGCAUGUUUUGUUAUGUCUUAUGUGGAUAUCAUAUUCUUUUUUUGUAUUACUAGUGUCCAGUCAAUGGAAAAUGCUUUUCUUGCUUUGCCUAGACUUUGUGACAAUUAACUUAUAGUGCGAUCAUUGAUCAUUGAGCUUCUGACACCCUAUUCCAUAAGAUUCUGUUGUAAUGUUUGCUAGAUCAUUGAGUAGUUAAUAUUGAUUCUGAGUUUGUUGGAUCAUUAACUUCUGUGUGUGCUUUGGUUAUCUGAGAGACACUCACUAUCCUGUGUUUCAUAUUCGUGGCGAAGCGAUGAACGAUUAUGUUUCGUGUCCCUGUGUUUCGUGUUCGCCCGUCUGGUUUUGGAUUUGGAUUGCAGAGACGGGGAGAGGCCAAAGCAAGGUCAGUUUAUCAUGUUCGCUCAGAUCGGUUCCUCGGUUCCGUCGCUGCGUUGUUCGUCGGCGAUUUCCAGACCUCAAACGCAUGCGCCCUUGUGAUACUCUGGUUUGGCUCGCUGGUCGUUAUGGUUGUUUGUUACGGUUGUUCUUAUGUUCUUGAAUCACCCAUCUUAUAAGCAGAGAUGGGGUGAUACAUUAUGGUUGUUCUGAUGGUUGCUUAUUUAGUGUUCUUUCCAAUUGGGUGGUUCUUGUCAUGCUUUGCUUAUGUUCCCAAUGUCUGUCUUUCCAUAUAUGGGGAUGCGUUAGGGUGCAAACCGUGUAGGCCAUGGUGUGUUUUUACUAGCUAUGGUGUGUUUUAUACUAUCUAAUGUGGAAGGUGGAAAUAUUGAUAUCACUUCUGUGUUAGUAUACUUGAUAUGGUGUGUUUUAUUCAAGUAAUUAACCACAUCUCUUACAAAUUUUCCUUGAGAUACAUGUUUAUAUGGCAGGAGUGAUUGUCUUGACGAAUAAUCAUUUAUGCUAACAGACCAGUACUUGAUCAUAGGUAACAGACCAGUACUUGAUCAUAGGUAACAGACCAGUACUUGUUAGUGCAGACAACUGACUAUUCUUUUUUUCUGAACUUUUUUUUGAUAUGUCUGUUAUGUGGAUAUCAUAUUCUAAUGCUUUUCUAAGUAUUUAAGGUAUAGACAUGUGGAUCUGGACAUUUCACAUUUGCUCUUUAUUGUGUUGCUAAGGACACUGAACGGUUUGUCUGGGCCACCGCACAGCCUGGCUAAUCAGAACUGUAUGAAUUUGAACAACAAUGGCCGAGGGCAGUACAAAUGCUUAGUGGUAUUGACUUGGACUCAGGAAUAAGGAUGCUUGAUGACAAACAAAUUAUCCAAGUGCGUCCAGAUUGCACGUCUCUAUUUGGAGGAUGAUGAUGCAGUGAAUGUUGAAGCUUUUAUCAACAAAGCCUCAUUUUUUGUCACAAACAGCAACCAGGAAGGUAUGCUAUGCAAGAAUUUUAGAUCUAAAGCGUAAAUUCUUGGAAGCUGCACUUCGAUACUAUGGUAUCUCUCAAAUUGAGCAACGCCAAAUUGGGGAUGAGUACAGACAUUGGAUCUGGACAUUUCACAUUGGCUCUUUAUUGUGUUGCUAAGGACACUGAUGGGUUUUGUUUGCAUAAAACGCAGUAUGGAGCAACAAAUUGGUCUCAUUGCAAGGUCACUACCUGGACGUAUAGGCAAGCAAUGUCAAGAGAGGUGGCAUAAUCAUCUGAAUCCAGACAUACAGAGAGAUGCUUGGACUAUGAGGAGGAACAUGCAUUUAUAAUGCCCAGGGAAUAAAUGGGCAGAAAUAGCAAAAUUUCUUCCUAGAAGUUCUUCUCACCUAUAGCUAAAGCAAGACGACAAACCAGGUGAAUUAUUGGAGUUGCAAGAUACACAGACUCAGUCAUCUUAAUCUUCUUUUGUAAAUAUGACUGCUGGUGCUGCUGGUAACGCUAUCCAUCGGCUUGUAACUCAUGAGAGGCAACCACAGUUGCCAACUUGAAACUAUAUAUUGUAGGAACGAAGAUCUGAAUCACCCUCACCCCUCGAGAGAAAUCGUUUAGUCAUUCAGGUUUUGGAAUUUCUUUAUAGCUUUCUGAGUUUACUUCGGUGUUUCUUGUUGCUUUCUGUUUGUGCCCCUAUCUAUGUUUGUUUCUUGUGUGCAAGUGCUCCAUUCUGUGUCUGUCUGACUGUUUGUGGUUUGACUCUCUUGUGUGUGUGGCUUGACUGUCUGUGUGUGGGACUGUGUGUUUGCCUGUGUGUGUGUGUGUGACUGUGUGCAAAUAUUGCAUUUGACUGUGAUGUGUGACUCUGUGUGUGACUGUGUGAAGCAUUUGAUUGUGAUGUGUGACUCUGUGUGUUUGCCUGUGUGUAUGUGUGUGUGACUGUGUGCAAAUAUUGCAUUUGACUGUGAUGUGUGACUCUGUGUGUGACUGUGUGAAUAUUGUGCAUUUGACUGUGAUGUGUGUGACUGUGAAUAUUGCAUUUUGGCAAUGACUAUGUGUGUGAUUGUGCAUGGCUUGACUCUGUGUGUGUGUGGCUUGUAUGCUUUGCUGAAUGAUUGGUUGGUGUGGCCUAACACUGCC